AGUGACGAUAGCCUAGGAGAUACACCUGUACCCAUGCCGAACACAGCAGUUAAGCCCUAGAACGCCUGAUGUAGUUGGGGGUUGCC
rnacentral:rRNA from 1 species